rnacentral:lncRNA from 1 species
AUAUAUAUAUAUAUAUAUAUAUAUAGAGUGAGGCUACUAUGCUAUCGGAAGCACGGAGCCUUCCGUGCUUCCAGCUCGUUUUCGAUGUUACGAUUUUCGAAUCGUCGAUCGGCUCCGUUAAACUUGAUCUAGAGUAUUUGAAGUACCUAGAAAAUAAAUUUUAUGAUUUUACGAUAUCAUUUGCUUAGUGAAUGAAGGGGCUCAAAAUCAACGGCUAAAAAUAAAAAUCUUACAAGUAUAAUAAUAUGACAUUAAAAUUUUAAAUCAAAGAUAUUGAUCUUGUUUUAUAUAGUAUAAAGAAUUUUCUAUCAAAAUUUCACGUGAUUUGGAUAUUUCUACACCGUUAAACUUGCAA